GAGAGCCGGAUGCAGGGAAACUCGCAUGUCCGGUUCGGCGAGGGGGAUGGAGAAACUUGCUCCAGCAAUGGGGUAAAGCGCUUCAUCCCUACUCAUCC
rnacentral:ncRNA from 1 species